rnacentral:lncRNA from 1 species
AAGCCCCGCUGAUCUUGAACGUGAUUGGUCGGUGGGCGUAUAGAAUCUCCGUCGUCAGGGAGACUGCGAACACGGGGUAAACCAAGGGGUAAACAAUCUGUGCGUGGAAUGGGGAGUGGUGAAUGCGCAAGGGCGAUGAUAGGCGCUGAUAUCCCGAAAGAAGAUAACAGCUUGUUUUCUUCACCGCCACCAGUCUACCUGCUCUCUGCACACUCGGCAGAGCGCGGCAGGGCACCCCACGGAGCUGCACUAGUCACAUCCGGGCCCCACGCCGGUCGACGGCCGAUGCGCCGCUGGGAGGCCUGCGGCGCGGACGACGGAUGCGGCAGUUGGUCAAGACACGGCAGCCUACUCGAGGUGCUUCUCGCCUGGAGGACGCAGGCGAAUCGCGUUAUCCGAGCUGUGCCUCGUCAUGGUGCGAUGAGCCUUAAUAGACUAAUGCAUAUUCUUCCUUUGGCUGUAAUUCAUUUGCUGCUGCCCGCUGGGCUAAGGAGUAACUCUGGGCGCCUACUUUGGGCAGACGCUCGUCCAGUGCCGCUCUUCGUUUGCCGCACAUAUCUUUAUUUAUUCUUUGUUACAAUUCCGUCUUUGGUCAUUUUUUUUUACCAUGGGGGCACUUGAAAGUUUUGUUUUUAAAUCUGUGGACAUUGAACCUGGAAUCGGUUUUAUGUCGGAUUUCGGUUUUGUUUUUGCACUGUGGAAAUAUCUCGUUCAAUAUUUUUAAAGGAAAAGGGCCACCUUUAACAUGGGGAUUGAAACUGAGAUAGCCAUCUUGUAGCCCGUGUCCGAAAACCUAUUUGUCUACCUCCUUACGGCCGAUUUCGGCCUCCAUUCGUAGUUAUCGGCAAUUUUAAAAGAAAAUACGCCAGGAAUGCGUUCUUAUCCCAGGAAUGCGUUCUUAUCCGACAAUACAGCCACCCGCGGCGAGGCUUUGGUUUUUUACCAAUCAGCUCCAACCAGCUCAGCUUUAACCAAUCAGCUUAUCUGACACAAUCCGACGAGUCUGUCUUCUGAACGCUGAUUGGUUUGAGUGUGACGUCAUCGCUAUGCCAUCAUACAGUAGGUGCCGUAGAGAGUAUCAACAUAGUACCAAUAUGUUAAAUAGUUUUAAAUACUUUUUCGCAAAUUGUGCACUUCUGGCACCAGUUUUAAAAAGAAAAUGAAAAAUAAUAAUGUCAAAAUGAAAAACAACGAUAUCUUCAUAUUUCACGAAGGUGGCCCUUUUCCUUUAAGAUAGGGCGUGCUAAAACUUUUAGUCUCAUUACUCCUCUGUGCAUCUAAAUUCUAAAGUACUAUAAUGUGCAUCUCAAGUGUUUGGUGCUGUACUGUUAUUAUUUAUGGUUAAUCCAGUGCUGUACUGUUAUUAUUUAUGGUUAAUCCAGUUUUUAUUCGAUUGAAUCGUUGUGUGUAGUGCAUGACAUCCGCGUACCGCCUGUAGCAGUGUUAUAUAUUUUCAUUUAUGCUGGAAAAUAAUAACUUUCUUGUUCAUUG